ensembl:lncRNA
CACGCUUCUCCACUGGGCGUCAUCGCCGUGGCAACCUAGCGACAACCCAUUCCGUCUCCACCAGAGGCUGACAACUUGCGUGCGGACGCCCGAGAUGCUCCAGGGGAAACAUUCCCGUUUCUCUCUCCGAUGCUUCGGAACGUUACGGAGCUCCGGCUGAUUUCACAACCAAAAGAGAACAAUCUAUGAUUUGACUUGUUAAAGCUGCAUCAGUGGAAACCAAGUGCAUUUAAUCAGGCACCAAAGUACAUUAUGAGAGGAGCUUCCGUCCGGCCAGCAGCUGAAUUACUAGUGAUGACGGUGGUGAUGAUGACGGUGAUGAUGAUGAUGGUGAUGAUGAUGGUGAUGGUGAUGAUGGUGAUGAUGAUGCUCAGUGUGAUGUCUCAGCACCACCUAGUGCUGCUUCAAUAAAACCGCAUGUCACCUCAAAAACAUUUAGCGGAAUAAACCUCUACAGAAAAGGUGAGAUGCAAUUAAUAAAUAAAUAAGAAGCCAUUGUGGAAGCUAACAAAGUUAAUGAUUCUUUCUAAUUGAGAGUUGGCAGAAA